AUUGAACGCUGGCGGCAGGCCUAACACAUGCAAGUCGAACGAGUGGCGGACGGGUGAGUAAUGUCUGGGAAACUGCCUGAUGGAGGGGGAUCACUACUGGAAACGGUAGCUAAUACCGCAUACCAUCGGAUGUGCCCAGAUGGGAGUAGCUAGUAGGUGGGGUAAAGGCGAACCUAGGCGACGAUCCCUAUCUGGUCUGAGAGGAUGACCAGCCACACUGGAACUGAGACACGGUCCAGACUCCUACGGGAGGAAGCAGUGGGGAAUAUUUGACAAUGGGCGCAAGCCUUAUGCAGCCAUGCCGCGUGUAUGAAGAGGGCCUUCGGGUUGUAAAGUACUUUCAGCGGGGAGGCGUUACCCGCAGAAGAAGCACCGGCUAACUCCGUGCCAGCAGCCGCGGUAAUUC
rnacentral:rRNA from 1 species